rnacentral:lncRNA from 1 species
CAGCUACUUCAGUGCAGGUGUAAGGUUGAGAGAAGUGUAAGAAAUUCGGCAAACAAGAAAAUGCACAACCACAAUUUGUAAAUAUGAAUCAACUUUAUUCACUCGUAAUGUUAUGUGCAUACAAAAGAAUAUAAUAAACACGAGUAAUCAUAACAAAUUCAUAGCUGAAUCCACACCCGAAAACACGAAAUCAAAAGGAGAACAGAAAAUACAAGAGGAAAUGUAAUAGCUCGAUACUCAAUGCCUCAAAAGAGCGAAAAGUGAGAACAAAAGAGAUGUCCCAAUGACGGCGCCAGAGACUGGCAAAGAGAAUGCAUCUCCGGCAUCGGGAGACGGUGCCGGCGCCUGAGCAGAAACUGUGAAAGCCACAGCAGAGAGAGCGACGACGGCAUAGGCUAGCAGGAAGGACUUCGCAAUGCCAAUCUGCGCCAUUGGUUUGUUUGAAAUUUGCCUGAAAUAUCAAAAUGACAAAAUUGGGUAUUUAGGUUGAGUUGAAGGGUGGUUUUUGGAAUUGUAUUUAUAGAGGGUGUAGUGGGGGUACGGUGACAGUUGGAGACAGAUAUAUUUGUUAGAACA